AUCAGUUGAGAUCUGGAGAGAUCAUAAGUUCAGUCGGCCUUGGCAUCACAAGCGGGUUCAAUUCGAUCUCACACAGUGGGCAGGUCCCCGAUGGUGUGUGCGUCAGGUCUACUCGCACGAGUGGACGUCAGAUCACGCAAGUGGGCAGGUCCCCAAUGCUCGAUCCAGGAGGUGCUAGCUCAUGCUGGCUGGAACUAGGAUGCAAAAGGGUUGACGGAUCCAUGCCGCACAAGCACUGCGCCAUGCUCAGUCCAACCCCGUGGCUUCAGGGUGGCCGAGUUCGUCACGACCAUCAGUUCGGAGACCUGCGUCACUGCUCGUGUCACUACCAUGGCCACCUGCAUCACAGCGUGAUCCAUCAACAGCCUCUUGCACAAGGAAAAGCAACAGGAGUAGAGGCGUCUGAGAUGCUCUGUCCUGGCGACUGUGAGAAAGGCAAGUGCUUAUGCGGCUUUUGCUGAAGAAGAAAGGCCUAGCUUAACUGGCGUAGCAGUACCCAAAUCAGGUGUCGAUGUUGUGGAGGCUUUGGAUCUUUCCCUAGUUGCUUGACUCCAAUAAUUAUGUCUUUUGAGAUUGUACC